GUGGUUGCUGGAGUAGGAGGCGGUAGAUGGAGCGAUAGAAGAUCACGACGAGGGUGGUUCAAGUUCAGGACGAGAGACUUGAGCAAAAUCAGAUGUUGUCGAUGUGACGAGUUAGGACAUUUAGUCAGAGAUUACUCUAAACUCAGGGAUCAAAUGAGAACUAUUGCAGCGACAGCUAGUAGCGAGUCAGAGGAUGAUACCCUGAAGAUAUCUGAUGAGAUAUCUAUUUCUUCUCAGCUGUAGAUUUUAGAUUCUGCAUGCACCU
rnacentral:lncRNA from 1 species